UACGAAGGGGGCUAGCGUUGCUCGGAAUGACUGGGCGUAAAGGGCGCGUAGGCGGUUUGUUUCGUUAGGCGUGAAAUUCCUGGGCUCAACCUGGGGACUGCGCUUAAGACAAGCAGACUGGAGUGUGAAAGAGGGUCGUGGAAUUCCCAGUGUAGAGGUGAAAUUCGUAGAUAUUGGGAAGAACACCGGUGGCGAAGGCGGCGACCUGGUUCAUUGACUGACGCUGAGGCGCGAAAGCGUGGGGAGCAAACAGG
rnacentral:rRNA from 1 species